CGCCUCCCUGGUUGCCGUGGCGACUGGAGGCACGCGACGCGGGCGCGAUGGCGGGGACUCUAGGCCCGGGACUUGAUGCUGCUUGGGCCUGGCCCAGUGGCGGGUCCUGGGGACGUGGCAGAGGCUGGCAGGCCACCAAUUCCUGUAAUAUCUGGGGGCCAGAACAGGGGAUGUCCUGGAUACUUCCAAAUGGCAAGAUUUGGAAUUCAGUCUUCUAACCUAGCCAUGGUUUCAUAUUCCAGGACUUUUUGGUUGGCGGGACACAGAUACUGGCCCUUCAAGGCAGAAUUCAGGCGAUGGGUGAGUCCCUGUGACAGAGCCAGAAAAUGCAUGACACAGGAGAAGAUGCACCCUUAUCUGUUCAGUGAGAGAUGUGCAAAUCAACAUCAACACAGAACUGCUGAAGAAAAAAUAUGUGUGUGUAUGUUACUAUGUGAUGUGUGUGUGUAAUAUAUAUAUAUAUUUAAUAUAUAGUA
rnacentral:lncRNA from 10 species